UACAGAGGGGGCAAGCGUUGUUCGGAAUUACUGGGCGUAAAGGGCGCGUAGGCGGCCCUCUAAGUCAGACGUGAAAUCCCUCGGCUCAACCGGGGAACUGCGUCUGAGACUGGGGGGCUUGAAUCCGGGAGAGGGAUGUGGAAUUCCAGGUGUAGCGGUGAAAUGCGUAGAUAUCUGGAGGAACACCGGUGGCGAAGGCGGCAUCCUGGACCGGUAUUGACGCUGAGGCGCGAAAGCCGGGGGAGCAAAGCGGG
rnacentral:rRNA from 1 species